rnacentral:rRNA from 1 species
UACGUAGGGGGCUAGCGUUGUCCGGAAUCAUUGGGCGUAAAGCGCGCGUAGGCGGCCAGAUAAGUCCGGUGUGAAAGUCACAGGCUCAACCUGUGAAUGCCGCUGGAAACUGUCUGGCUUGAGUCCGGAAGGGGCGAGUGGAACUGCGAGUGUAGAGGUGAAAUUCGUAGAUAUUCGCAAGAACACCAGUGGCGAAGGCGGCUCACUGGGACGUAACUGACGCUGAGACGCGAAAGCGUGGGGAGCAAACAGG